rnacentral:rRNA from 1 species
AGCGUACACGGUGGAUGCCCUGGCAGUCAGAGGCGAUGAAGGACGUGCUAAUCUGCGAUAAGCGCCGGUAAGGUGAUAUGAACCGUUAUAACCGGCGAUUUCCGAAUGGGGAAACCCAGUGUGAUUCGUCACACUAUCAUUAACUGAAUCCAUAGGUUAAUGAGGCGAACCGGGGGAACUGAAACAUCUAAGUACCCCGAGGAAAAGAAAUCAACCGAGAUUCCCCCAGUAGCGGCGAGCGAACGGGGAGGAGCCCAGAGCCUGAAUCAGCAUGUGUGUUAGUGGAAGCGUCUGGAAAGGUGCGCGAUACAGGGUGACAGCCCCGUACACAAAAGCGCAUGUGCUGUGAGCUCGAUGAGUAGGGCGGGACACGUGGUAUCCUGUCUGAAUAUGGGGGGACCAUCCUCCAAGGCUAAAUACUCCUGACUGACCGAUAGUGAACCAGUACCGUGAGGGAAAGGCGAAAAGAACCCCGGCGAGGGGAGUGAAAAAGAACCUGAAACCGUGUACGUACAAGCAGUGGGAGCACAGGUUUACCUGUGUGACUGCGUACCUUUUGUAUAAUGGGUCAGCGACUUAUAUUCUGUAGCAAGGUUAACCGUAUAGGGGAGCCGUAGGGAAACCGAGUCUUAACCGGGCGUUAAGUUGCAGGGUAUAGACCCGAAACCCGGUGAUCUAGCCAUGGGCAGGUUGAAGGUUGGGUAACACUAACUGGAGGACCGAACCGACUAAUGUUGAAAAAUUAGCGGAUGACCUGUGGCUGGGGGUGAAAGGCCAAUCAAACCGGGAGAUAGCUGGUUCUCCCCGAAAGCUAUUUAGGUAGCGCCUCGUGAAUUCAUCUCCGGGGGUAGAGCACUGUUUCGGCUAGGGGGCCAUCCCGGCUUACCAACCCGAUGCAAACUGCGAAUACCGGAGAAUGUUAUCACGGGAGACACACGGCGGGUGCUAACGUCCGUCGUGAAGAGGGAAACAACCCAGACCGCCAGCUAAGGUCCCAAAGUCAUGGUUAAGUGGGAAACGAUGUGGGAAGGCCCAGACAGCCAGGAUGUUGGCUUAGAAGCAGCCAUCAUUUAAAGAAAGCGUAAUAGCUCACUGGUCGAGUCGGCCUGCGCGGAAGAUGUAACGGGGCUAAACCAUGCACCGAAGCUGCGGCAGCGAACGUAUCACCCAAGACAACUUUACGGAGUUGACGAUUGACGGAGCGAAGCGACGUCAAAGCGUUCAUUAAAGUCGAGUUGGCUUAGGGAUACGUUCGUUGGGUAGGGGAGCGUUCUGUAAGCCUGUGAAGGUGUGUCGUGAGGCAUGCUGGAGGUAUCAGAAGUGCGAAUGCUGACAUAAGUAACGAUAAAGCGGGUGAAAAGCCCGCUCGCCGGAAGACCAAGGGUUCCUGUCCAACGUUAAUCGGGGCAGGGUGAGUCGACCCCUAAGGCGAGGCCGAAAGGCGUAGUCGAUGGGAAACGGGUUAAUAUUCCCGUACUUGGUGUUACUGCGAAGGGGGGACGGAGAAGGCUAUGUUGGCCGGGCGACGGUUGUCCCGGUUUAAGCGUGUAGGUGUGUGUUCCAGGUAAAUCCGGUUCACUUUAACACUGAGGCGUGACGACGAGGCACUACGGUGCUGAAGCAACAAAUGCCCUGCUUCCAGGAAAAGCCUCUAAGCAUCAGGUAACACGAAAUCGUACCCCAAACCGACACAGGUGGUCAGGUAGAGAAUACCAAGGCGCUUGAGAGAACUCGGGUGAAGGAACUAGGCAAAAUGGUGCCGUAACUUCGGGAGAAGGCACGCUGACACGUAGGUGAAGUGAUUUACUCAUGGAGCUGAAGUCAGUCGAAGAUACCAGCUGGCUGCAACUGUUUAUUAAAAACACAGCACUGUGCAAACACGAAAGUGGACGUAUACGGUGUGACGCCUGCCCGGUGCCGGAAGGUUAAUUGAUGGGGUCAGCGCAAGCGAAGCUCCUGAUCGAAGCCCCGGUAAACGGCGGCCGUAACUAUAACGGUCCUAAGGUAGCGAAAUUCCUUGUCGGGUAAGUUCCGACCUGCACGAAUGGCGUAAUGAUGGCCAGGCUGUCUCCACCCGAGACUCAGUGAAAUUGAACUCGCUGUGAAGAUGCAGUGUACCCGCGGCAAGACGGAAAGACCCCGUGAACCUUUACUAUAGCUUGACACUGAACAUUGAGCCUUGAUGUGUAGGAUAGGUGGGAGGCUUUGAAGUGUGGACGCCAGUCUGCAUGGAGCCGACCUUGAAAUACCACCCUUUAAUGUUUGAUGUUCUAACGUGGACCCGUAAUCCGGGUUGCGGACAGUGUCUGGUGGGUAGUUUGACUGGGGCGGUCUCCUCCUAAAGAGUAACGGAGGAGCACGAAGGUUGGCUAAUCCUGGUCGGACAUCAGGAGGUUAGUGCAAUGGCAUAAGCCAGCUUGACUGCGAGCGUGACGGCGCGAGCAGGUGCGAAAGCAGGUCAUAGUGAUCCGGUGGUUCUGAAUGGAAGGGCCAUCGCUCAACGGAUAAAAGGUACUCCGGGGAUAACAGGCUGAUACCGCCCAAGAGUUCAUAUCGACGGCGGUGUUUGGCACCUCGAUGUCGGCUCAUCACAUCCUGGGGCUGAAGUAGGUCCCAAGGGUAUGGCUGUUCGCCAUUUAAAGUGGUACGCGAGCUGGGUUUAGAACGUCGUGAGACAGUUCGGUCCCUAUCUGCCGUGGGCGCUGGAGAACUGAGGGGGGCUGCUCCUAGUACGAGAGGACCGGAGUGGACGCAUCACUGGUGUUCGGGUUGUCAUGCCAAUGGCACUGCCCGGUAGCUAAAUGCGGAAGAGAUAAGUGCUGAAAGCAUCUAAGCACGAAACUUGCCCCGAGAUGAGUUCU